GACGAACGCUGGCGGCGUGCUUAACACAUGCAAGUCGAACGGAAAGACACUGCUUUUGUGGGGUGCCCGAGUGGCGAACGCGUGCGUAACACGUGUGCAUCCUGCUCUUGUCUUUCGGAUAACUUCAGGAAACUGGGGUUACUAUAGGAUAGCAGCCCCUGCUGCAUUGUGGGGGUUGGAAAGUCUCGGCGGUCGGGGAUGGACUCGCGGCUUAUCAGCUUGUUGGUGGGGUAGUGGCUUACCAAGGCUUUGACGGAUAGCCGGCCUGAGAGGGUGACCGGCCUCAAUAGGACUGAGGGACGGAGCAGAGUCGUACGGGAGGCAAUGGUGGGAAGUAUGGCACAGUGAGCGGGAGCCGGAGACGGAGGCGCCGCGUUCGUGAUGACGGCUUUCGGGGUGUGAACCGCUUUAGCCUGUGACGAAGCUGGAGUGACGGUAAUGAAUAAAGAAGCACCGGCUAACUACGUG
rnacentral:rRNA from 1 species